CCUACGGGAGGCAGCAGUGAGGAAUAUUGGUCAAUGGGCGCGAGCCUGAACCAGCCAAGUAGCGUGAAGGAUGAAUGCCCUACGGGUUGUAAGCUUCUUUUAUAAAGGAAUAAAUUGAGGCACGCGUGCCUUUUUGCAUGUACUUUAUGAGUAAGAGUCGCCUAACUCCGUGCCAGCAGCCGCGGUAAUACGGAGGGGCCGGGCGUUAUCCGGAUUUAUUGGGGUUAAAGGGAGCGUAGAUGGGUUGUUAAGUCAGUAGUGAAAGCUUGCGGCUCAACCGUAAAAUUGCAAUUGAUACUGGGAGUCUUGAGUACAGUAGAGGUAGGCGGAAUUCGUGGUGUAGCGGUGAAAUGCUUAGAUAUCACGAAGAACUCCGAUUGCGAAGGCAGCUUACUAAACUGCAACUGACGUUGAUGCUCGAAAGUGUGGGUAUCAAACAGGAUUAGAUACCCGGGUAGUC
rnacentral:rRNA from 1 species